rnacentral:hammerhead_ribozyme from 1 species
AUCCGGUUGGCGAGUUUCAAACAGGACGAAACGCGUGUGCUGGAU